UUCCACAAAUGAUGGGUAUCGAGGGACUUUCUCCAAGUCAUACAUUGUGAAGAAGAGGAAAAGCCUUGGGAACGAGAAGCAAUCUAGAAUUCCCAGUCUAAUAGUAGUAGUUGGCCAAGUCCCUUAACUUCUUCGCAUCUCAGUUUUCCCCCAGUACAGAACAGGGAAAAUCAAACUCUUCUCCCCAGUCCCAUAGAGCGGCUAGAAGGCAUGGGCUGCUGCGAGGAAAGUGCUCAGUUAAAGGGAACAGAGGGAAAAAAUAAGAAGCUGCUUCUAAAAACACUAGUGACUCUCCAUCCUCAAGGCUCACCAAAGGACAGGAUCUGUUGGCCACUUUGAACUGGAAGGGGACGGUUACUUAGCUCGAAUACUCAAGCUACUGGGAAGAAGGAGACGGGCUCACUCUCGAAGUGCCACCAGAAAGUCUCAAGUUAGAUCAAAGUGAAACCUGAAAAUAAGAGGGGUUGGAGAAGCAGAUCAAGGUUUCAGUGAAGUGAUAGAUGCUUUUCUGUUAAGAUUUACUUUAUUUUUAAAAGUUGAAUAGUUUUAGACAUGAUUUAUUUGUGAUUAAGAAAAACAUGUGGAGUAGAGUUAUAUGACUUCACCCCUCCAGAAAAGCAUGCAUUUCACUCCGAGACAUAGAUUUUCAUACUUUGCUAAAGAAAAUAAAGAGACUCUCCAGAAAACAACUUCAGUUGUGUGCUGAUAGCAGAGCGAUCCAGGGAAGGCGGUAACCAGCAACCCUGUGGUCAUUCUUGGAUUCUCCUAGCCAUCAUAAAAUGUGAAACACUUAAAUAAAAUAAAGCUGAGGUUUAAUUCAGAAUUAAACAGUUCUGCCAAAUAUAUGUGAUGAAAUUCUAUGGACUUUUAUGCCAGUCUCCCCCAAAGGGUGGGGUCAAAAGGAUAUUUUGCUUUUCCCAACAAUGAUGGCGGAGGAAGUCUUCCAGUUUACAUAUGUCUUAGAAUACUGGGAAAGCAAAUUUACCAUGUUUACACACAAAGAUCUAUAAUCAUUUUUGGAGUCAUGACUGUACAUCAAA